rnacentral:rRNA from 1 species
UGGGGGAUAUUGCACAAUGGGCGAAAGCCUGAUGCAGCGACGCCGCGUGGGGGAUGAAGGCCUUCGGGUUGUAAACUUCUUUUGCUCUGAACAAGGCAUGCCUUUGGGGUGUGUUGAGUGUAGGGGUUGAUUAGCGCCGGCUAACUACGUGCCAGCAGCCGCGGUAAUACGUAGGGCGCGAGCGUUGUCCGGAAUUAUUGGGCGUAAAGGGCUUGUAGGUGGCUGGUUGCGUCUGUCGUGAAAGCUCAUGGCUUAACUGUGGGUUUGCGGUGGGUACGGGCUGGCUUGAGUGCAGUAGGGGAGGCUGGAAUUCCUGGUGUAGCGGUGGAAUGCGCAGAUAUCAGGAGGAAUACCGGUGGCGAAGGCGGGUCUCUGGGCUGUUACUGACGCUGAGGAGCAAAAGCGUGGGGAGCGAACAGG